rnacentral:rRNA from 1 species
AUUGAACGCUGGCGGCAGGCCUAACACAUGCAAGUCGAGCGAGCGGCGGACGGGUGAGUAAUGUCUGGGAAACUGCCUGAUGGAGGGGGAUAACUACUGGAAACGGUAGCUAAUACCGCAUACCAUCGGAUGUGCCCAGAUGGGAUGCGCUAGUAGGUGGGGUAAAGGCUCACCUGGGCGACGAUCCCUAGCUGGUCUGAGAGGAUGAACAGCCACCCUGGACCUGAGAAACGGUCCAGACUCCUAAGGGAGGCAGCAGUGGGGAAUAUUGCACAAGGGGCGCAAGCCUGAUGCAGCCAUGCCGCGUGUAUGAAGAAGGCCUUCGGGUUGUAAAGCACUUUCAGCGGGGAGGCGUUACUCGCAGAAGAAGCACCGGCUAACUCCGUGCCAGCAGCCGCGGUAAUAC